CCUACGGGAGGCAGCAGUGAAGAAUAUUGGUCAAUGGACGAAAGUCUGAACCAGCCAAGUAGCGUGAAGGAUGACUGCCCUAUGGGUUGUAAACUUCUUUUAUAAAGGAAUAAAACGAGGCACGUGUGCCUUUUUGCAUGUACUUUAUGAAUAAGGAUCGGCUAACUCCGUGCCAGCAGCCGCGGUAAUACGGAGGAUCCGAGCGUUAUCCGGAUUUAUUGGGUUUAAAGGGCGCGUAGAUGGGUUGUUAAGUCAGUUGUGAAAGUUUGCGGCUCAACCGUAAAAUUGCAAUUGAUACUGGCAGUGUUGAGUACAGUUGAGGUAGGCGGAAUUCGUGGUGUAGCGGUGAAAUGCUUAG
rnacentral:rRNA from 1 species